CAGCAGCCGCGGUAAAACGUAGGUGGCAAGCGUUGUCCGGAAUUAUUGGGCGUAAAGGGCUCGCAGGCGGUUUCUUAAGUCUGAUGUGAAAGCCCCCGGCUCAACCGGAGAGGGUCAUUGGAAACUGGGAAACUUGAGUGCAGAAGAGGAGAGUGGAAUUCCACGUGUAGCGGUGAAAUGCGUAGAGAUGUGGAUGAACACCAGUGGCGAAGGCGACUCUCUGGUCUGUAACUGACGCUGAGGAGCGAAAGCGUGGGGAGCGAACAGGAUUAGAUACCCCGGUAGUCCCUGUCUCUUAUAC
rnacentral:rRNA from 1 species